CAGCAGCCACGGUAAUACAGAGGAUGCAAGCGUUAUCCGGAAUGAUUGGGCGUAAAGCGUCCGUAGGUGGCUUUUCAAGUCCGCCGUCAAAUCCCAGGGCUCAACCCUGGACAGGCGGUGGAAACUACCAAGCUAGAGUACGGUAGGGGCAGAGGGAAUCUCCGGUGGAGCGGUGAAAUGCGUUGAGAUCGAAAAGAACACCAACGACGAAAGCACUCUGCUGGGUCGACACUGACACUGAGAGACGAAAGCUAGGGGAGCAAAUGGGAUUAGAUACCCCCGUAGUCCCUGUCUCUUAUAC
rnacentral:rRNA from 1 species